AUCGAAAUAGGUAUCGGUAUCGGCCGAUACCGAUCUUAAAAGUAUCGGUAUCGGUAUCGAAUUAAAAAUCCUGGUAUCGCCCAUCACUAAUCGGAGGUGUGAUGAUCUAUGCCUUGAUGCUUUGCGCGCGUGGCAAGAAAACUAGACACCAGUCUGUCAGUCGCGCACAUUGCGGUAAUUAUUCAUUUAAUCUUAGAAAAUAAAUAGUCCCAG